CGGAAUCAAUUCUAUCUGUAAUCAAGUUGUUUGAAUGCAAUGCUAAUGUAACCAGCUCAUCUGUUUUGAUAGUUUGUUAGCUUUGAAGAAAUCCACAAACUUAUAUUGUGGCUUGGCAGUACUCUGUAGAAGCAGCAGAGCUACAAUGAGCUCUAGAGUUUGACCUCCAAACAAUGAUAUUGCCUGCACUACAAAAAAUAAAAAAUAAAAGAUCAAUCGACAGUGCGCAAACUGCAUACUUAAUGCAAAUCAAGCUUUUUAAAAUUGAGAAUUGCAAACAGUUCUAUGUGCUUUCAUAGCCAUGCUCCCUAGAAACAAAAUGAAGCAUAGUUUGAUGCAAACAGCGGAAAGGAUAAGCAAAUUGAUUACACAGUGGUUCAUCUUCAUCAUCCUUUAUUCACAGCAUAUGCCAAUCCAUAUCAAAGCAUAAAGUUGAACAAUUUUUAUCCAACCACUACCA
rnacentral:lncRNA from 1 species